GCGCGCCGCCGUCCGCUCACCGGAACUCGGGCCACGCCGGCCCGGCUCCGGGGCCCCCAGCCUUCCGGCGCCUACGCCCCCGUCAGGUCCCCUCCGCGGGCUCCGGGCCGCUUUGCUGUGGUCAGGAUAGGCGACCGGUCCGUGUCACUUCUCCCGACCCAACAUGGCGGCGGGGUCCGGGGCGGAUUCCCGGGGGCGGUGCAGGCCGAGGGGGCGUGAGGAGGAGGUGCUUCCCUGCCCGGAGAGCAGGCCCGCGGCGUCCCUUCCCACCCGCGAACCCACCGACGCUCGGCUGCCGCGGAGAUUGAAUGGAGCGCUCCGAUUCUGCCCCUCUGCCUUUCUCUGUUCCUUGGCCCAGCUCUCAGUAGUGGCCAGGGCUUUGGGGCUUGCUUUUGUGGGGGAGGACGGGGUUGAGUUUUUUUGGUUGGCUGUUUGCUUCUCAGCGCUACGCUUCCGCACCCUUUGUCGUUGGUAGUAAAAUCUCAAGCCCAACCGCGUGAGCCGGGGGCGUUACUCACACCCUCAUCACCAUCCUGAUCGCCGUCCAAAAAACGUUCACGUCUUGCCUCCUUCCGAGGCAGGGAUCCUGUCCCUGCCCCCAGGAGCUUCCUGUUGACUGUAGGUCGAACCAGCCUUGCCGGGAGGGGAACCGAAGCUGAGUUCUGUUUGGCGACUAUCCCAGUCAUGGUGGCUUUGGCUUAUGUUGGGACAGCGUUUUUCUAUAUGAUGCUGGCGGCAGCCCAGUGAGGGAAGUGCAACAAGUAUGGUUCUCCUGCUUGUCAACUGUGGAAACAGCGACCCUGAAAGUGGAGGAGCCACAGCUGGAAUCGUGUCCGUCUGAAUACACGCACCUUUCCUAUGAGCCUUGUAAAGCCAGUCGUUGAAGAAGGGGGAGGACCCGGAAGGAUGGGGUGGGGGCGUAAAGAUGAAGGUUAAUCAAGGUCCUCAUGGACUGAACCUUGAGGCCCUUCUGCUGCAGUCACUUUUGCCCUAUCAGACUUUUAGAGUAACUUCCUCUCUUUAUUUCCUCUUUGGUGGGGUUAUCAGAAUUAUUUUGUGACUAUUGGUUUCCUUUGCGGUUUUUAGUGAAAUUCAGAAUCAUCUUCGACGGAUAGGAAAUAGUGCAAUCAUAUGUGUCAGUAUUCCGGUAUUCUAGGAACUUAAGGAAAUGCAUAUAAGGGUUUGAACAUUUUUUUCUUCAGCUCACUAAAUGAACGAAAGGUAGGCGUAGGCGUUAAAGAGACACAUAAUGUGGAACGAUGCUGUAUUUUCUUAGCUACUAAAACUUCAUUUGUCAUUGACUGUCUCAGGGCUUUAAAAUUUUAUGUAGGUCUAUAUUCAGCUUUUAUUAAAAUAGAAAAUUCCUUGAG
ensembl:lncRNA novel transcript